CAUGCUGUUAAUUAAUAUUAUUAAUAAUAAUAGAAAGAGAGGCACGGUGUCCCCACAGCAAGAAGGUCGCUGGUUUGAGUCCCGGCUGGGUCAGUUGGUGUUUCUGUGUGGAGUUUGCAUGUUCUUUUCGUGUUGGCGUGGGUUUCCUUCGGGUGCUCUGGUUCAAACAAUUGCACUAUAGGGAAAUUGAUUAACUAAAUUGGCAGUAGUAUAUGGGUGUUUCCCAGUUCUGGGUUGCAGCUAGAAGGGCAUCCGCUGCGUAAAACAUAUGCUGGAAUAGUUGGCGGUUCAUUCCACUGUGGCAUCCCCUGAUUAAUAAAGGGACUAAGCUGAAAGAAAAUGAAUGAAUAAUAAUAGUAAUACAUUUUAUUUAUUUAUAUUACGUUUUUUUAUUGAGUGAAAAAUUUGGAAAUGCUUGAAAUGGCAGACACAGGGAAAGACUUUCCACAUUCUCUUUUAAACAUGUCUAACACAAACAUGAGAAGACGAAAUAGUAAAAAUAAAAUAGAAAUAAUAAAAAUGAAUAAAUAACAUUGUAUUAUAUCAUUUAUUAGUAUUAUUAUAACGAUUAUUAUUCAUUUUAUUUAUUAAAUUAUUCAUUAAAUUGUAUUUUAUUAAUGUUUUCCUCUAAACCCAACUCUCACAGUAAUGUAAAUCUGAAUGAUACAGUAUGUGCGCGUCCACAGCUGUAUCCCUUCUACACUUUACCGACAGGUACUCUUGGACAGCGGCUGGCAGCGGAAGUGCUGGUUACUGUUUACUUUAGGUUGGUUGCUAAGGAUGCGCUUUCCAGGAGAUGCAACGUGAAAGCUCGCUGUAAAUCUGAUUUUCUUUAACAUGUAUCUGAACAAGCUUGUGUCCGUGAGUGAGAAGUGAAGCGAAAAUGCGCUCCUCUAAGCAGCGGAAGUGCAGUAGCAGCGGGCGGUUUCUGCCAUCUGCGGUUCACAGCAGCUAUAAGCAGCAUCUUGCAGCAGUCAGCUCUUUACUGCCGGACAGACUGAGCCGCAGACCUCUGGAUCUGAGGUUAUCAACUGACCUGAAGAACACUUUCAAUGUGGACGCCUUGAAAACACAGCCAUGCACAAGCGGUGAAACAGGAAGUCUGCGUGACAGUUCUGUCCCCAAUUUCCUGUCUGCCACCAGCUUCAGAGAUGACAUCUCUUCCUGUCCUGAGAGACUCGAUCUGGACCGGCGUGGACUGACUGAUCUGCCGGAUCUGCAGUCUCUCCAUGAGCUGCGUCAGCUGAACCUGCAGCACAACCUGAUUACACACCUGCAGCACCUCCAGAGCCUGCGGAGCCUGCUGCUGCUCGAUCUCCAUGGCAACCGGCUGAUUGACAUGUGCGGACUCUCCUCGCUGCGCUGUCUGCGUGUGCUGCUACUGGGAAACAACCGAAUACAGAGGAUCAGUGAUGUGGACGGACUCACCAAACUCGAUGUUCUGGACUUACAUAAUAAUCAGGUGCACAUUUUAUAAAUACAAUAAUCCAUCAGUUAUAUUAUUACUAAUAUUAUUAUUAUUAUUUUUUUUAUUUUUUAAUUAUUAUUGUU
ensembl:lincRNA